GAUGAACGCUGACAGAAUGCUUAACACAUGCAAGUCCACUUGAACUUCGGUUUGGGUGGCGGACGGGUGAGUAACGCGUACAGAACUUGCCUCACAGAUAGGGACAACAUUUGGAAACGAAUGCUAAUACCUGAUAUUAUGAUUAUAUGGCAUCGUAUAAUUAUGAAAGCUAUAUGCGCUGUGAGAGAGCUUUGCGUCCCAUUAGCUAGUUGGAGAGGUAACGGCUCACCAAGGCGAUGAUGGGUAGCCGGCCUGAGAGGGUGAUCGGCCACAAGGGGACUGAGACACGGCCCUUACUCCUACGGGAGGCAGCAGGGGGGAAUAUUGGACAAUGGACCAAGAGUCUGAUCCAGCAAUUCUGUGUGCACGAUGAAGUUUUUCGGAAUGUAAAGUGCUUUCAGUUGGGAAGAAAAAAAUGACGGUACCAACAGAAGAAGUGACGGCUAAAUACGUG
rnacentral:rRNA from 1 species